ensembl:lncRNA
CGAGAAUGUAGGUGUGUAAACUUCAAAUAUCUGCUUGUUUUAUCAAGACAUCCCAUAUUUAGCGACAGUGCUCUGACAACGUUGGUCCUGCCUGACAGCUAGCCGGCUACCUAGCUAGCUGCCGCACUUGGCUGCAAAUGGAUAGCGAGGGGACUCUCUCUGUCGUUUCACCUCCCCGGUCUCUCGCAAAUGCUCGCACAGAAUCGGAGUUACAGCUGGAUGUGGAAAAAAUAACUGAGUUGUUUGGUGGUGCUAUAACGCGGAGCUACAACAGUGGGCAGCUAUCCACCGGUGUAUGACAGAAAGGACAUGCGGCGACCGCCGAUCGACCGGUGUUUGCUAACGCGGAGGUCAAUCGUGGAUCAGGGAAAGCGAAGGCAGGAGCGUGAGGUGAACUGAAUUUCAGGCAUCCAAAAGGCAUCCAAAAGGCAGUGGCGGCGACACCUGUGGAGGAAAUCCAAAGCCCGACCGUGCGGAAGGCAGAUGGCGGUGACAGAGGCGACCCCGUUCAGGGGGCCACCCUCGACGGCGAUGACGUCCAGCUAGAGGCCUGGAAGAUGGCCGGCAAAGGCGAGGUGGUUCAGGCUGAGCUGGAUCGGGCAGCGGUGUAGAGGCGGCAGAGGCUGGACCAGGCGAGGAUGCUCGGGGCCAGGCGGCAGCGUGGCAGCUGUGGAUGGUGACGCUGCAGGCUCGCGCCACUGGCCCACGCACCUGUGUUCAAUCUCCACACCUGCCACUGAUCUCCACUCAUCCUGAAGCCCUACUUAAGACAGCAGCGCUUUGCUACUCAUCGCUGGAUCGUUGAGCAAAAGAUUUCUGAGACAUGUCAUGAAAGAAUGAACAAAAAAUUGAUAUAGACAAACACUGUUCCUCGGUGCACAACACGGUCAGUGUUUAAAGUAGUGUAAACUGGUUUCUUUGACAUUAAUGUGUUGAUGCAGGUAAAUAAACACACAGGUGACAGUUUCUGUUUAUUGUGGUUUGAAGGCAUGCAGUGAAAAUCUAUAAAUGUGUUUAGUCAUGGAUCAGAUUCAGAGUAGCCCAUUAUAGAACUCACGAGUCUGUUCAACACACGAACCAGCUGAUUUUGUAUUCAACCAGUAAGAAUGACGACUAGGAUCAGGAUCCCACCUCAUUCAUUGGAAAACAGAGUAGGACCUGAAAAAAGCAAGAUGAACAGACUCAAUAACAAACUUGUAUCCACAUUGUGAAAACACUUCUGGAUAAAACAUUAACAAUAAUGAUUUGGUUAAAAUCCC